UAAGAUUGAAGUGUAUUUACAUGGGUUUGA
rnacentral:piRNA from 1 species